CAGCAGCCGCGGUAAUACGUAGGGUGCAAGCGUUAAUCGGAAUUACUGGGCGUAAAGCGUGCGCAGGCGGUUCCGCAAGUCAGAUGUGAAAUCCCCGGGCUCAACCUGGGAACCGCAUUUGAAACUACGGAGCUAGAGUGUGUCAGAGGGGGGUGGAAUUCCACGUGUAGCAGUGAAAUGCGUAGAGAUGUGGAGGAACACCAAUGGCGAAGGCAGCCCCCUGGGAUGACACUGACGCUCAUGCACGAAAGCGUGGGGAGCAAACAGGAUUAGAUACCCGCGUAGUCCCUGUCUCUUAUAC
rnacentral:rRNA from 1 species